CCCUAGUAACUGCGAGUGAAGCGGGAAAAGCUCAAAUUUAAAAUCUGGCGGUCUUUGGCUGUCCGAGUUGUAAUCUAGAGAAGUGUUAUCCGCGCUGGACCGUGUACAAGUCUCCUGGAAUGGAGCGUCAUAGAGGGUGAGAAUCCCGUCUUUGACACGGACUGCCAGGGCUUUGUGAUGCGCUCUCAAAGAGUCGAGUUGUUUGGGAAUGCAGCUCAAAAUGGGUGGUAAAUUCCAUCUAAAGCUAAAUAUUGGCGAGAGACCGAUAGCGAACAAGUACCGUGAGGGAAAGAUGAAAAGAACUUUGGAAAGAGAGUUAAACAGUACGUGAAAUUGCUGAAAGGGAAACGCUUGAAGUCAGUCGCGUUGGCCGGGGAUCAACCUUGCUUUUGCUGGGCGUACUUUCCGGUUGACGGGUCAGCAUCAAUUUUGACCGUUGGAUAAAGUUCAGGGGAAUGUGGCAUCUUCGGAUGUGUUAUAGCCCUUGUUCGCAUACAACGGUUGGGAUUGAGGAACUCAGCACGCCGCAAGGCCGGGUAUUUUACCACGUUCGUGCUUAGGAUGCUGGCAUAAUGGCUUUAAUCGACCCGUCUUGAAACACGGACCAAGGAGUCUAACAUGCCUGCGAGUGUUUGGGUGGAAAACCCGAGCGCGUAAUGAAAGUGAAAGUUGAGAUCCCUGUCGUGGGGAGCAUCGACGCCCGGACCUGACCUUUUGUGACGGAUCCGCGGUAGAGCAUGUAUGUUGGGACCCGAAAGAUGGUGAACUAUGCCUGAAUAGGGUGAAGCCAGAGGAAACUCUGGUGGAGGCUCGUAGCGAUUCUGACGUGCAAAUCGAUCGUCAAAUUUGGGUAU
rnacentral:rRNA from 1 species